GACGAACGCUGGCGGCGUGCUUAACACAUGCAAGUCGAACGGAGUUCCUUGGAAAGAGAUUUCGGUCAAUGGAAGAGGACACUUAGUGGCGGACGGGGGAGUAACGCGUGAGGAACCUGCCUCUCAGAGGGGGACAACAGUUGGAAACGACUGCUAAUACCGCAUAACAUAUCUGUAUCGCAUGGUAUGGAUAUCAAAGAUUUAUCGCUGAGAGAUGGCCUCGCGUCUGAUUAGCUAGUUGGUAGGGUAACGGCCUACCAAGGCGACGAUCAGUAGCCGGACUGAGAGGUUGGCCGGCCACAUUGGGACUGAGAUACGGCCCAG
rnacentral:rRNA from 1 species